CAGCCGCCGCGGUAAUACAGAGGUCUCAAGCGUUGUUCGGAAUCACUGGGCGUAAAGGGUGCGUAGGUGGCGUGGUAAGUCAGAUGUGAAAGCCCGGGGCUCAACCUCGGAACAGCAUCAGAUACUGCCGUGCUAGAGUACUGAAGAGGUGACUAGAAUUCUCGGUGUAGCAGUGAAAUGCGUAGACAUCGAGAGGAAUACCAAAGGCGAAGGCAGGUCACUGGGCAGUUACUGACACUGAGGCACGAAGGCCAGGGGAGCAAACGGGAUUAGAUACCCCAGUAGUCCCUGUCUCUUAUAC
rnacentral:rRNA from 1 species